UACCUCGCGAGAGGACGCCAAUCUCUUAAAACCAAUCUCAGUUCGGAUUGUAGGCUGCAACUCGCUACAUGAAGUCGGAAUCGCUAGUAAUCGCGGAUCAGCAUGCCGCGGUGAAUACGUUCCCGGGCCUUGUACACACCGCCCGUCACACCACGGGAGUUUGCAACACCCGAAGUCGGUGAGGUAACCGCAAGGAGCCAGCCGCCGAAGGUGGGGUAGAUGACUGGGGUGAAGUCGUAACAAGGU
rnacentral:rRNA from 1 species